GUCACCUCCACAGAUGCUACUUAGCAACCUCAGAGGGGUAGAACUAACUGCAGUCUAGGUCCUACUGACAAGCGAUGGACUGAGCUGACGUGGAAUGGCUCCUGCAUUCACAGGCCUCGAGGAUCCCUUCCCCGGGAAUCCCCAGCCUCUGUUGGGUUGAGAUCAGAGGGACUGCUCACAAAUGUCAGGGAAACAAAGACGUGGACAUUGAUAUGAACUUCCUCUAUAUUGAUGGGUUCAGCAUAAGAUCAUCUGAAAAUACGCUUUCUGCGGCUGCUGCCGCUUAAAGGACAGUGACACAUUGUGUGGAUGUGGAUUCACCUGUGAUCAGCAGCAAAUGGAACAGGUGUGAUCAGAUCAUUGACUGAUUUUUGCCUCUCUGCUGAGGGAUUUGGGAAAGCUGCCUCUCUGCUGUGCCAAGCAGUGUCCCAUGCUAUACAAAACAUGCUGCUUCUGGUGUGAAUAACUGAGUUUGGCGGCUUAGAAUUGAAUCCAGUUUAAAAUGAGUGAAUACUUCUGAGAAACAUCUGUGAUACUCACCCAUCUGUAGAGUAGACCACAUUACCAUACAAGCACAGCACGGUAAAGUUCAAAAUGCUGCCUCAGUGUUCAGACAGAGUCACCAAAGCCCUCAAAUUCCAUCUAGGAGUUUAGGAGAAUGACAGAACACUGGAGGUGGGUAGAGUGCAUCCAUGAGCUCCAUCAAGGGUUGCGCAUCACUGCACCUGGAAAAUCCCCCCAAUGUCAAUGCCAUUGUUUUUGGUCAUUAACCCCACAAUCCAGAUGAACAUGUAAGCCUUUAUUUAAAUGUCAGCAUGGGAAUGGUCCCAUUGUAACAAGUGGGACCCUCUCCUGUGCUUAAAGUUAAGCACGUGCUUAAAUGCUUUGCUAUAUCGAGGUGUAAGCUGAGAUUGAAGGGCUGCACUUUUGGAUAAGGUUGUGCUAAAUAGCUAGAAAUCUAGCCUCUAGUAGUUCACUAGGGGAUUAUAUCCAUUGCUGGGAACCCAAUUCACAGGUGUCUGCUCACUCUGAUGUCUGUUGCCUCCAUCCAUUCACGGUGGUCGUUUGUGUUGCUGAUGGUUGUCUGCUGGAGAUAUGCCCAGCCGGGAGGGUUUGCCUUGGCUGAUUUUGUCUCUGUGUAAGGUGCAGACGGCAUGAAAUGUAUUACCUUGAUUGAUUUUAAAACUUGCCAUAUGGGAGUUGUGGCUUUCUCUUUAGUUUGUCACUUCCAGGGAGAGAGGAAAACCGCAAGAAAGAUGCUGUGCUAGCCAAGGCAAUGUACCAAAUCCUGACUGAAGAUAAAGGGAUCAGUGGCAUGUUUGAGCAGGAACAAUAUGUCUUGGCAUCACUUCUUGACCCUUGCUUCAGAACCAGAUGGAAAACAUUCUCUUGCCAGACUUUGAUAUGGAGAACAGGCAAGUCAUUUUGCUAGUGAAAUGGCAGAUGUGUCGGAGUCAAUCGACUUAGAAACCUCACAGCAUGUGCCUCCUUCUGACAAAAGUAGGGAGUGCUGGGAACUGUAGUGAGCCAAGAAACAAUAGCAGUAAUAAUAGAUGAGUCUGUUCUGCAAAUAAGGCAGAUUCCUAAUGACAUGCCACAACACCUGUUCUGUCUCUAAUGUGCUGGGCCAACAUUCGUUGCCAUGGAUUGCUGGAAAGCGGAUUCGAGGUGCUAUGAAUCACCCUCAGAAGCCGAUUGGUACUCUGUAGUGUCAUGUUGUGGUAUUUUCAUUGCUGACAUCUGACUGUGGUGAUAUUUCAUCUCAUUCAUCUUGUAGCACUGCUCUUGGUUCCAAACAUGUCAUCCAUCCCCAGUACUGUGUAUACAGGGAUCUGGACAUCAGACUUCUAUAGAGUGUAAUCUACCACCACCUCUCACAUCACAGAGGUCCCCAUGUGCAGUCGGGCUAGACAUGAUUCUGGCGCAUGUAGGGAGGAGAGAGGACCAUAUAUAGGGGGUGCAUACUUUGCAGUGCAUAUAGCUUGGCUCUUAGGAGCUUCCAAAUUGCUGUUGCAAAGAAUGUGUUAGGGAGUGGGCCAGGGCCAAGCAGAAAAGAGACAGACAUCAAACAGGGCUAGAGGAUCCACAGCUAUGGGAGUUCCCUAUCCUUCCCCCAGUCAGAUGGAUAUGGGAAGGAGUUAGGGGCUUACUCCACCAACAUAACCUCUAUUUGAUUUACUUUGGUUCUGAAAUUUAUCUAGCCUCUUUAAAACAAGUUCCAAAACCCUGUGUAACAAAGGGUUAAUGGAUACAAUUAUUCCAUGUGUGAGGCGGGAGAUGGAAGAGUAGUUGAACCUAUGAAUCUAUGAUGUAGAUGAUGUAAUAUGAUGUGAUGAAUCUACUGUAGAUGCUUUACACAACUUUUAUAGGAUAAGAACAUUGAUUGAAAAUCAUUUGAUUCCUUAUAGGGUAAUUAAACUACAGGGAGUCCUCGGACUUAUGACACAAUUCGUUCCUCAGAAUUGCGUUGUAAGU